rnacentral:misc_RNA from 1 species
UUGAAUACGCUUGGGUGUUGAUGCUGGCCUUCGGGCAUGUGCUCGCAUUCAAACCUAUUUAUCUUCUCUUGUGCACCUUUUGUAGUCUUUGAAGUCAAUCUCCGCUGCAAACGCGGGUUUUGGGGCUUGAGCGCAGGCCCUGGGCUUUAGAGACUAUGUCUUAUAUACCCUAUUGAAGUUACAGAAUGUCAUUUUAAAGGCAGCGCUAGUCGCAGUCAUUAAACCUAAUA